AAAUGAAUGUUCACGUUCCUAAGGCGUACGACCUGACCCCUACCGGCAAGCAGGAGCAUCGCUUCAGAUGAUUCCUCUCAGGCUUAUGGAGCCGAUUGCUGUCUUUACUUCAUAGCCAUCUACAGUAACGGCCAGGAAACAGGGUAUCUCUCUGUGUAUUUGGGAACUUGCGUCCUCCCACCCACCCACAGACGCCUCGGGCCAAUCGUACCAAGUUAGUGCUGCCACUGGUGGCCAAUUUUCACUAGGACGUUUUCCACUUUCCACAAUUGCUUCACAAGUUUUACACUUUAGUACGAAACGUCUUAGUGAAACCAAAACAUCAAAUCUAACAGCUCAUGAAUCAGUUAGACUUGACCAUAUGUUUCAUACCAUACUGGUUGCAGUUGGAAUAUCUUGAAAUAAAUUGCAUCCAAUCAUUUGAAAGCGAUGAAUUAUCUACUGCUCUACAACUCCUAAAUGGUUUUAGCUCAUUGGUUUAAUUAUUAAGAUUUGUCAUUCCAACAUGUACAACAUUUGUGAUCUUUGAUGUGAGGAUGUGACAUUACAUGAAGACAAUCUUUAUAAUUAGA
rnacentral:misc_RNA from 1 species